UACAGAGGGUGCAAGCGUUAAUCGGAAUUACUGGGCGUAAGCGUGCGUAGACGGUUAUUAAGUCGGGUGUGAAAGCCCCGGGCUCAACCUGGGAAUUGCAUUCGAGACUGAAUAGCUAGGGUGCGGAAGAGGGAAGCGGAAUUUCCGGUGUAGCGGUGAAAUGCGUAGAUAUCGGAAGGAACACCAGUCGGCGAAAGCGGACUUCCUGGUCCA
rnacentral:rRNA from 1 species